ensembl:rRNA Gm26041 predicted gene, 26041
GCUGGUGGUUAUAUUACCCAAAUGCACCCAAUCUUUUCUGAUUUUGAUAGCUAAGCAAGGUGGGGCUUGAUUAGUACUGAGAUGGGAGAAAGUGUUGCAUUACUUUUU